rnacentral:rRNA from 1 species
UACAGAGGGUGCGAGCGUUGUUCGGAAUUAUUGGGCGUAAAGGGCGCGUAGGCGGUGCGGUAAGUCACCUGUGAAAUCUCCUGGCUCAACUGGGAGCUUGCAGGCGAAACUGCCGUGCUGGAGUGUGGGAGAGGUGCGUGGAAUUCCUGGUGUAGCGGUGAAAUGCGUAGAUAUCAGGAGGAACACCUGUGGCGAAGGCGGGUCUCUGGGCCGAUACUGACGCUGAGGAGCGAAAGCGUGGGGAGCGAAACAGG